rnacentral:rRNA from 1 species
UAAGCGGAGGAAAAGAAACUAACAAGGAUUCCCCUAGUAACGGCGAGUGAAGCGGGAAGAGCACAAAUUUUAAAUCUACCUGGUUUUCCAGGUCGAGUUGUAAUUUGAAGAAACGUUUUUUACGUUCCGGGUUGGAUUAAAUCCUUUGGGAUAAGGUAUCAUGGAGGGUGAGAAUCCCGUGUAUACCAACCACUGGAAUGUUAUUAAUACGAUUUCUAAGAGUCGAGUUGUUUGGGAAUGCAGCUCUAAAUGGGUGGUAAAUUUCACCUAAUGCUAAAUAUAAGCGAGAGACCGAUAGUGAACAAGUACCGUGAGGGAAAGAUGAAAAGAACUUUGAAAAGAGAGUUAAAUAGUACGUGAAAUUGUUGAAAGGGAAACGGUUGAAGUCAGUCAUGCCGGUGGGAAUCAACUUAGGGGAAACUCUAGGUGCACUUCUUCGCUUGGCAGGUUAGCGUCGAUUUUGGAUGUCAUAAAAUGACUAGGGGAAGGUAGCUCUUUCGGGAGUGUUAAGCCCUUGGUAGAUGUGAUGUUCGGGAUCGAGGAUUGCAACGGAUACCCUUUGGGCUAGCCACCUGGUCUCUAAUACGAAGUUGGGUUAUAGAUAGCAUGCUAACYAUGAUCUGAUUUUCGGUUAAAAGAUUAGGAGUGAGCGUAAAUUCGUAAGGACGCG